AGAAGAUUGUCAGUUGAAGGGAGGACGGAUACUGCAUAAAGUCAAGAAAACUGCUGGUGGGAAUAAAAUAGCCUACAGUUUAAAAUUCAGUGUCACCAUUAAGGAACUGUCAGAAACAACAGACUGACAGCUGAGGCCACCGAUCAAGAGAUCGAAUCAUUUAUUAAAAAAUGGCUUCAUCUUUCAAGUGACCGAGACGGAGGGAGAAGAGAAAGAGAGAAUCGGAGGAGGGUCCAAGACACCUGCUUGCAAGAUUGCCAUGACGCAGAUGGGCCCAGUAAAGGAGGUCAAAUUCUAUAAUUUUGGAUGGUUCCAUUUGCCAAGGUUUUGUAGUGUGUUCACUUCUGCGUUGUCUGUUUGUUUUUUUGGAUGACCAAAGCUACUGGAAAUAUGUUUUGUUUUUAUUUAGUUUCUACAAUGCUUUCUAUGCACAUAUUUUGUGUUUGUUUAUUAUUGUUUUUUUUUUUUUUUUAAUUGGUUUCCAGUUUUGAAAAUGUAAACUUGCAGUGGGUUGUUCUUUGGCAAUAUUA